GACGAACGCUGGCGGCGUGCCUAAUACAUGCAAGUAGAACGCUGAAGGAGGAGCUUGCUUCUCUGGAUGAGUUGCGAACGGGUGAGUAACGCGUAGGUAACCUGCCUGGUAGCGGGGGAUAACUAUUGGAAACGAUAGCUAAUACCGCAUAAGAGUAGAUGUCGCAUGACAUUUGCUUAAAAGGUGCAAUUGCAUCACUACCAGAUGGACCUGCGUUGUAUUAGCUAGUUGGUGAGGUAACGGCUCACCAAGGCAACGAUACAUAGCCGACCUGAGAGGGUGAUCGGCCACACUGGGACUGAGACACGGCCCAGAAUCCUACGGGAGGCAGCAGUAGGGAAUCUUCGGCAAUGGACGGAAGUCUGACUGAGCAACGCCGCGUGAGUGAAGAAGGUUUUCGGAUCGUAAAGCUCUGUUGUAAGAGAAGAACGAGUGUGAGAGUGGAAAGUUCACACUGUGACGGUAUCUUACCAGAAAGGGACGGCUAACUACGUG
rnacentral:rRNA from 1 species